GACGUAGGGUGCGAGCGUUGUCCGGAAUUACUGGGCGUAAAGAGCUCGUAGGUGGUUUGUCGCGUUGUCCGUGAAAACUCACAACUCAAUUGUGGGCGUGCGGGCGAUACGGGCAGACUGGAGUACUGCAGGGGAGACUGGAAUUCCUGGUGUAGCGGUGGAAUGCGCAGAUAUCAGGAGGAACACCGGUGGCGAAGGCGGGUCUCUGGGCAGUAACUGACGCUGAGGAGCGAAAGCGUGGGGAGCGAACAGG
rnacentral:rRNA from 1 species